GAUGAAGAACGUAGCGAAAUGCGAUAAGUAAUGUGAAUUGCAGAAUUCAGUGAAUCAUCGAAUCUUUGAACGCACAUUGCGCCCCCUGGUAUUCCGGGGGGCAUGCCUGUCCGAGCGUCGUUUCAACCCUCGAGCCCCCGUGGCCCGGCGUUGGGGAUCUGCCACGGCAGGCCCCUAAAACCAGUGGCGGACCCGAAGGCCCUCUCCUUUGCGCAGUAGCAUCAGCCUCGCAUUGGGAUCCCUCGGCGUCCUGCCUCUAAACCCCCCACAAGUCCGCUCCGGCGGCACCAAGGUUGACCUCGGAUCAGGUAGGAAUACCCGCUGAACUUAAGCAUAUCAAUAAGCGGAGGA
rnacentral:misc_RNA from 1 species